GAUGAACGCUGGCGGCGUGCCUAAUACAUGCAAGUCGAGCGAAGCGGGGACGGGUGAGUAACACGUGGAUAACCUCCUAUAAGACUGGGAUAACUUCGGGAAACCGGAGCUAAACCGGAUACUUAUAUCUGGAUCCGCGCUGCAUUAGCUAGUUGGUAAGGUAACGGCCUACCAAGGCAACGAGGCAUAGCCGACCUGCGAGGGGGAUCGGCCACACUGGAACUGAGACACGGUCCAGACUCCUACGGGAGGCAGCAGUAGGGAAGCUUCCGAAAGGGGCGAAAGCCUGACGGAGCAACGCCGCGUGAGUGAGGAAGGGCUUCGGAUCGUAAAACUCUGUUAUUAGGGAAGCGGUACCUAAGCAGAAAGCCACGGCUAACUACGUGCCAGCAGCCGCGGUAAUAC
rnacentral:rRNA from 1 species